rnacentral:rRNA from 1 species
CCUACGGGUGGCAGCAGUGGGGGAUAUUGCACAAUGGGGUAAACCCUGAUGCAGCGACGCCGCGUGGGCGAAGAAGUAUUUCGGUAUGUAAAGCACGAUCAGCAGGGAAGAAGAAAUGACGGUACCUGAGUAAGAAGCAGCGGCUAAAUACGUGUCAGCAACAGCGGUAAUACGUAUGGUGCAAGCGUUAUCCGGAUUUAUUGGGUGUAAAGGGAGCGCAGGCGGCACGGCAAGCACGAUGUGAAAGCCCGCGGCCCAACAGCGGAACUGCAUUGGGAACUACCGGUCUGGAGUGCCGGAGAGGUAGGCGGAAUUCCUAGUGUAGCGGUGAAAUGCGUAGAUAUUAGGAGGAAUACCAGUGGCGAAGGCGGCCUACUGGACGGUGACUGACGCUGAGGCUCGAAAGCGUGGGGAGCAAACAGGAUUAGAUACCCCAGUAGUC